CGGGUGAGUAAUGUAUCGGAACGUACCUUUCAGUGGGGGAUAACGUAGCGAAAGUUACGCUAAUACCGCAUAUUCUGUGAGCAGGAAAGCAGGGGAUCGCAAGACCUUGCGCUGAUUGAGCGGCCGAUAUCAGAUUAGCUAGUUGGUGAGGUAAAGGCUCACCAAGGCGACGAUCUGUAGCGGGUCUGAGAGGAUGAUCCGCCACACUGGAACUGAGACACGGUCCAGACUCCUACGGGAGGCAGCAGUGGGGAAUUUUGGACAAUGGGGGCAACCCUGAUCCAGCCAUGCCGCGUGAGUGAAGAAGGCCUUCGGGUUGUAAAGCUCUUUCGGCCGGGAAGAAAUCGUAUGGGUUAAUACCCUGUGCGGAUGACGGUACCGGCAUAAGAAGCACCGGCUAACUACGUGCCAGCAGCCGCGGUAAUACGUAGGGUGCGAGCGUUAAUCGGAAUUACUGGGCGUAAAGCGUGCGCAGGCGGUUUUGUAAGACAGGCGUGAAAUCCCCGGGCUCAACCUGGGAACUGCGCUAGUGACUGCAAGGCUAGAGUAUGGCAGAGGGGGGUGGAAUUCCACGUGUAGCAGUGAAAUGCGUAGAGAUGUGGAGGAACACCAAUGGCGAAGGCAGCCCCCUGGGCCAAUACUGACGCUCAUGCACGAAAGCGUGCUAGCAAACAGGAUUAGAUACCCUGGUAGUCCACGCCCUAAACGAUGUCAACUAGGUGUUGGGUGGGUAAAACCAUUUAGUACCGGAGCUAACGCGUGAAGUUGACCGCCUGGGGAGUACGGCCGCAAGGUUAAAACUCAAAGGAAUUGACGGGGACCCGCACAAGCGGUGGAUGAUGUGGAUUAAUUCGAUGCAACGCGAAAAACCUUACCUACCCUUGACAUGUCCAGGAGCCUGAAGAGAUUUGGGUGUGCCCGAAAGGGAACUGGAACACAGGUGCUGCAUGGCUGUCGUCAGCUCGUGUCGUGAGAUGUUGGGUUAAGUCCCGCAACGAGCGCAACCCUUGUCGUUAAUUGCCAUCAUUUAGUUGGGCACUUUAACGAGACUGCCGGUGACAAACCGGAGGAAGGUGGGGAUGACGUCAAGUCCUCAUGGCCCUUAUGGGUAGGGCUUCACACGUCAUACAAUGGUCGGUACAAAGGGUUGCCAACCCGCGAGGGGGAGCCAAUCCCAGAAAGCCGAUCGUAGUCCGGAUUGCAGGCUGCAACUCGCCUGCAUGAAGUCGGAAUCGCUAGUAAUCGUGGAUCAGCAUGUCACGGUGAAUACGUUCCCGGGUCUUGUACACACCGCCCGUCACACCAUGGGAGCGGGUUCCGCCAGAAGUAGGUAGCCUAACCGCAAGGGGGGCGCUUACCACGGCGGGGUUCGUGACUGGGGUGAAGUCGAAACAAGGUA
rnacentral:rRNA from 1 species